CUUAGGACCCCUCCCUCCAGAGGCUGCCCUUUGGUCCCUUCUGGUGGCCCCCGAGUACUCCCUCAGCAUGAACUGCAUAGCAGACUUCUUCACCUAUGAGACCACCAAGUCAGUGGUUGUGAAGAGCUGGACCAUUGGGAUCAUCAACCGAGCCGUUCAGCUUCUGAUCAUCUCCUACUUUGUGGGGUGGGUUUUCCUGCACGAGAAGGCAUACCAGGUCCGGGAAACAGCCAUCGAGUCCUCUGUGGUCACCAAGGUGAAAGGCUUCGGACGCUAUGCCAACAAAAUCAUGGAUGUGUCUGAUUUUGUGACCCCACCCCAGGGCAGCUCUGUCUUUGUCAUCAUCACCAAGAUGAUAGUGACUGAAAACCAAAUGCAAGGAGUCUGCCCAGAGAGCGAGGAGAAGUACAGCUGUGUGUCAGACAGCCAGUGCCAGGCCGAGCGUGUUGCCAGCGGGGGGAUCCUCACUGGCCACUGCGUGAACUACACCUCGGAGCUGCGCACCUGUGAGAUCCAGGGCUGGUGUCCUGCCGAGGUGGACACGGUGGAAAAACCUAUCAUGAUCGAAGUCGAGAACUUCACUAUCUUCAUCAAGAACAACAUCCGGUUCCCCCUCUUCAACUUUGAAAAGGGGAACCUCCUUCCCAACAUGACAGCCGCUGAAAUCAGGUCCUGCCGUUUCCACCCGGACAGUGCCCCCUACUGCCCUAUCCUGAAAGUGGGCGACGUGGUCAAGUUUGCAGGGCAGGAUUUUGCCAGACUGGCCAGCACGGGCGGAGUCCUGGGCAUUAAGAUCGCUUGGGUGUGCGACCUGGACAAGUCCUGGGACCUGUGCACCCCCAAGUACACCUUCACCCGGCUUGAUGGCCUUUCUCAGAAGAGCAGGAUCUCCCCAGGCUACAACUUCAGGUUCGCCAAGUACUACAAGACGGAGAAUGGCCAAGAGUACCGCACCCUGCUGAAGGUUUACGGCAUCCGCUUCGACGUGCUGGUGUACGGCAACGUGAGCUGGCAAGUUCAACAUCAUUCCCACCAUCAUCAGUGCCGUGGCGGCCUUCACCUCCGUGGGCGUGGGCACUGUCCUCUGUGACAUCAUCUUGCUCAACUUCCUCAAGGGGGCUGACCACUACAAAGCCAGGAAGUUCGAGGAGGUGAACGAGACGAUGCUGAAGGUGGCAGCCUCACCCAACCCAAUGUACUGCAGAGACCAGACCACGGAGGAGAAACAGUCCACGGACUCGGGGGCCUACUCCAUGGGCCAUUAGUGCCUCUGCCCAGGGCCCCACGCUGACCCGCUGGCUCCAGGCCUCCCCACUGAGGACCCUGUCUCAUCACAUCAG